ensembl:lncRNA
GGAGACUUUAUUCUGAAGUGAUCCUUUGCCACAGGAGCCAGGCUCAUCUAAUUAUAGACAUGCUGACAGUACUAAAGUCUUCCAGCUGAAGAGGAAGUGAAACUUCUUGUUGAACAUGGGAGCUAAAAGUUGUGAAACACUGCACAAAACCAGAUACGGACAUUUGAUCAUGAAAUAACCAGUUUCGUAGCUUUGCUGGAACCAAUGAUUUGCAGUUUAAAGAUCCAGAGACACUUAGACAUUAACAUCUGCUUUUUAGAAAAACAGAAGCAUAACUUUAUUUCUCUGCAGGUGAGCAAAGCAGGUGUUUUUUAGGGCAUCUAACGAACAUGAGCAGGGCAGACAGCUGGCAUAAAGUGGGCGCUGCAGGGGUCCUAACCUUAGAUUACAGUUUAGCAGAUUAGAGCUAAGCAGCAACCACCUUAAGCUCACCAGCCCCAUGAAACUCACGCUUCUAGCCAACAGAGCGUGCACAAAAACAUCCGCACACAAACACACACCCACUGGCACAGCUGUAGAACACAAUUAAAUUAGUGCAUUUGGCAGACGGUGUGCAAACCUAGCUUUGCACCAUACACACAUUAAAUCACAGGCAUAAAGAUGUGCACAUACACACAUAGUCUGGGCUAGAGGACAGAUGCUACGCCCUCCCCUCCUCCCGUCAUCCUCUCAAAGCCAGCUGGAGAGAAGAUGAGAUUUGGGGCUGAUUGGUUUUGUCUAUUUUUCCAUCACGCCCUGUGCGCCUCACUCCAUCCACCACUUUCGCCUUUCCACGGCACAGCCUCAUCCAUGGACAAAUAGUCAUCAUAAAAAUCUGGCAUCUGCACCAGUUUGAAAUAAACAGUGACAGGACUUCUUGACUGAUUUUUCUUUCUGAACUGUGGAUGUCAAAUUGGUGAGACAUCAGUGAGGUGAUAGAA